rnacentral:rRNA from 1 species
GACGAACGCUGGCGGCGUGCUUAACACAUGCAAGUCGAACGGAAAGGCCCUGCUUUUGUGGGGUGCUCGAGUGGCGAACGGGUGAGUAACACGUGAGUAACCUGCCCUUGACUUUGGGAUAACUUCAGGAAACUGGGGCUAAUACCGGAUAGGAGCUCCUGCUGCAUGGUGGGGGUUGGUAAGUUUCGGCGGUUGGGGAUGGACUCGCGGCUUAUCAGCUUGUUGGUGGGGUAGUGGCUUACCAAGGCUUUGACGGGUAGCCGGCCUGAGAGGGUGACCGGCCACAUUGGGACUGAGAUACGGCACAGACUCCUACGGGAGGCAGCAGUGGGGAAUAGUGCACAAUGGGCGGAAGCCUGAUGCAGCAACGCCGCGUGCGGGAUGACGGCCUUCGGGUUGUAAACCGCUUUCGCCUGUGACGAAGCGUGAGUGACGGUAAUGGGUAAAGAAGCACCGGCUAACUACGUG